GCUGAAACUCAAAAGAAUUGACGGGGACCCGCACAAGCGGUGGAGCAUGUGGUUUAAUUCGACGCAACGCGAAGAACCUUACCUGGGUUAAAUCACAUCGGCAAAGCUCAAAGAUGAGUUCCCCCCGCAAGGGGCCGAUGUGAAGGUGCUGCAUGGCUGUCGUCAGCUCGUGUCGUGAGAUGUUGGGUUAANUCCCGCAACGAGCGCAACCCUUACCAUUAAUUGCCAGCGGUCAGGCCGGGCACUCUAAUGGAACUGCCGGUGAUAAACCGGAAGAAGGUGGGGAUGACGUCAAGUCAUCAUGGCCUUUAUGUCCAGGGCUACACACGUGCUACAAUGGCAGGUUACAAAGCGUUACAAAGCAGCGAUGCGGACCAAUCCGCAAAAACCUGUCUCAGUUCGGAUCCGUAGUCUUGCAACUCGACUGCCUUGAAU
rnacentral:rRNA from 1 species